rnacentral:lncRNA from 1 species
UACGCCAUUAAAAGCGUUUGGACAAAUUAAAAGUAGAAAGUUAUACUUUCUGUAGAUGCACGUAUGUAUUGUGAAUGUGUGGAUGCGGGCUCUGUAGAAGAUUGCGUUAAACUCGAGGAUGGAAAAGAAGGCUGCAAAAAGCAAUGUGACGAAAGAGUUGAAGAAUGUUGCUGUAGGAUCGGGAAGGGAAAAUAAAUAAGAAACAGAUAUGCACUGGAGAAAAUGGCAACUUCUAAAGAAAUCGAAGAACAAUAAUUUGACAGACCUCCUCACGGGAGUUUUUGAAAUGUAUAUGAAAUUUAAAAUAAAACAAAAGUUGCUGUAUA